rnacentral:rRNA from 1 species
GGUUAAGUGACUAAGCGUACAUGGUGGAUGCCUUGGCAGUCAGAGGCGAUGAAGGACGUACUAACCUGCGAUAAGCCGUGAGCAGUCGGUAAGAGACAUUACGACUCACGGAUUUCCGAAUGGGGAAACCCACUUAGCAUAAGCUAGGUAUCGCUACGUGAAUACAUAGCGUAGCGAGGCGAACCGGGAGAACUGAAACAUCUAAGUACCCCGAGGAAAAGAAAUCAACCGAGAUUCCCUCAGUAGCGGCGAGCGAACGGGGAUUAGCCCUUAAGCAUCUUGGAAGUUAGUGGAACGGU